rnacentral:rRNA from 1 species
AAUGAACGCUAGCGGCAGGCUUAAUACAUGCAAGUCGAACGGCAGCACGGGUAGCAAUAUCUGGUGGCGAGUGGCGCACGGGUGCGUAACGCGUAUGCAAUCUACCUUCAACUGGUGAAUAGCCCGAAGAAAUUCGGAUUAACACACCAUAGUAUAUUAGAGUGGCAUCACUUUAAUAUUAAACUCCGGUGGUUGAAGAUGAGCAUGCGUGACAUAGCUAGUUGGUGAGGUAAUGGCUCACCAAGGCCACGAUGUCUGGGGGA